rnacentral:lncRNA from 1 species
AUCAAUGGCAGCGGUGGUGGCCAGAGCAACCAUGUGCAUUGGCAGUGAAUGGCAGUGGGAAUGAUUAUCCUGUACUUAUUAUUUUUUAAUUCAGUUGUUUUAUAAUUUAUUUUUAUUUUUUAUUUUUAUAUCAAAGAUCCCAACCAAUUUGUAGUCUAUGUGGCAACCACAUCAGUUUAGUAACAUGUUGGAUCUUACAAAACCUACAAAAAAGGUAAGUGCACUUAAAUCACUACUAUAAUGACAUCUGGUGCACUAACUUAAAACUAUGAGGGUAUGGACUGCAUUUUGCUCACAAACUAAAGGAUGCAAGGUUACUUAUA